AGCAGUCGCCGCGGGAAAACGGAGGGGGCUAGCGUUGUUCGGAAUUACUGGGCGUAAAGCGCACGUAGGCGGCUUGGUAAGUUAGAGGUGAAAGCCCGGAGCUCAACUCCGGAAUUGCCUUUAAGACUGCCGAGCUAGCAGGUGAGAGAGGUAAGUGGAAUUCCGAGUGUAGAGGUGAAAUUCGUAGAUAUUCGGAAGAACACCAGUGGCGAAGGCGGCUUACUGGCUCAUACUGGACGCUGAGGUGCGAAAGCGUGGGGAGCAAACAGGAUUAGAUACCCCCGUAGUCCCUGUCUCUUAUAA
rnacentral:rRNA from 1 species